CUCGGAGUUUGAUCCUGGCUCAGGAUGAACGCUAGCGGCAGGCUUAACACAUGCAAGUCGAGGGGUAUAGUUCUUCGGAGCUAGAGACCGGCGCACGGGUGCGUAACGCGUAUGCAAUCUACCUUUACAGAGGGAUAGCCCAGAGAAAUUUGGAUUAAUACCUCAUAGUAUGUGAGAAUCGCAUGGUUUUUCACAUUAAAGUUCCAACGGUAAAAGAUGAGCAUGCGUCCCAUUAGCUAGAUGGUAAGGUAACGGCUUACCAUGGCGACGAUGGGUAGGGGUCCUGAGAGGGAGAUCCCCCACACUGGUACUGAGACACGGACCAGACUCCUACGGGGAGCAGCAGUGAGGAAUAUUGGACAAUGGGGCGCAAGCCUGAUCCCAGCCAUGCCGCGUGCAGGAUGACGGUCCUAUGGAUUGUAAACUGCUUUUUG
rnacentral:rRNA from 1 species